CAGCAGCCACGGUAAUACGGAGGGGGCUAGCGUUGUUCGGAAUUACUGGGCGUAAAGCGCACGUAGGCGGCUUUACAAGUCAGAGGUGAAAGCCUGGAGCUCAACUCCAGAAUUGCCUUUGAGACUGUAUCGCUUGAACACGGGAGAGGUGAGUGGAAUUCCGAGUGUAGAGGUGAAAUUCGUAGAUAUUCGGAAGAACACCAGUGGCGAAGGCGGCUCACUGGACCGUUGUUGACGCUGAGGUGCGAAAGCGUGGGGAGCAAACAGGAUUAGAUACCCGCGUAGUCCCUGUCUCUUAUAC
rnacentral:rRNA from 1 species